rnacentral:rRNA from 1 species
GCAUAUCAAUAAGCGGAGGAAAAGAAACCAACAGGGAUUGCCCCAGUAACGGCGAGUGAAGCGGCAACAGCUCAAAUUUGAAAUCUGGCCUCGGCCCGAGUUGUAAUUUGUAGAGGAAGCUUCUGGUGCGGCGCCGUCCGAGUCUCCUGGAACGGAGCGCCAUAGAGGGUGAGAGCCCCGUAUGGUCGGAUGCCAAACCUGUGUGAAGCUCCUUCGACGAGUCGAGUAGUUUGGGAAUGCUGCUCUAAAUGGGAGGUAAAUUCCUUCUAAAGCUAAAUAUUGGCCAGAGACCGAUAGCGCACAAGUAGAGUGAUCGAAAGAUGAAAAGCACUUUGAAAAGAGGGUUAAACAGCACGUGAAAUUGUUGAAAGGGAAGCGCUUGUGACCAGACUUGAGGGCGGCGGAUCAUCCGGUGUUCUCACCGGUGCACUCCGCCGCUCCCAGGCCAGCAUCGGUUUCCGCGGGGGGACAAAGGUCCCGGGAACGUAGCUCCUCCGGGAGUGUUAUAGCCCGGGGCGCAAUGCCCCCGCGGGGACCGAGGACCGCGCAUCUGCAAGGAUG